rnacentral:rRNA from 1 species
UACAGAGGGUGCGAGCGUUAAUCGGAAUUACUGGGCGUAAAGCGCACGUAGGUGGCGACGUAAGUCGGGUGUGAAAGCCCCGGGCUCAACCUGGGAAUUGCAUUCGAGACUGCAUUGCUGGAGUACGGAAGAGGAGGGCGGAAUUCCCGGUGUAGCGGUGAAAUGCGCAGAUAUCAGGAAGAACACCCGUGGCUAAGGCGGCUCUCUAGUACGGUACUGACGCUGAGACGCGAAAGCGUGGGGAGCGAACAGG